AUAAUGUUUGCUAGAAGAGGUCCAAGAGGCUGCGCUUAUGCAGAUCCAGAACGACACCUUAUUAGUCCAAAGGAAUAUCAAAGUUUUUGAAUUGGAAGCAAUGGAAAUCUACAAGGAGUUGGCCUUUUCAUAGGUACUGAACCAAGAACAGGUCAUCUGGUUGUUAUGUCUUUUGUAGACGGUAGCCCAGCUGCUCUUGCUGGUAUUCAUGAGGGAGAUGAGUUGGUUGAAAUUAACGGUAAGCCACAGAUCUAGUAUUUGGCUUCUUCCUUUUCUUUUCUUUUUUCUGUUUUUAUUUAUUGUUUUUAUAAGGCUGGAAAGGGCUGGUAUUCCUAUAACUUUUGGUACUUGAAUCCUAACAUUAUUACAUUGUUUAGUUGGUCAAAAUUCAAAUUCCAUAAAAAAAAUAAAACCUUGUGG